rnacentral:ncRNA from 1 species
GAUCCGAAAGAUGGUUAUUUUUGCUGGCAUAGUUUGAAGCAAGAGGAAAAUCUGGUGGAGGAUUGCAGUGGUUCUAACGUGAAAAUCGUUCGUCAAACGUAAGCAAAGGGGUUAAAAACUAAUCGAACCAUAUAGUUGCUUGG